CCAAUAGCGUAUAUUAAAGUUGCUGCAGUUAAAAAGCUCGUAGUUGAAUUUCGGGACCAUCAUGUCGGUCGUGCCUCGGUACGUACUGGCAUUGUUGGUUUCUCCCUUCUGACGAACCAUGAUGUCAUUUAUUUGGUGUUGUGGGGAAUCAGGACUGUUACUUUGAAAAAAUUAGAGUGUUUAAAGCAGGCUCACGCUUGAAUACAUUAGCAUGGAAAAAUGAAAUAGGACGUUUGAUUCUAUUUUGUUGGUUUCUAGGAUCGACGUAAUGAUUAAUAGGGAUAGUUGGGGGCAUUAGUAUUCAAUUGUCAGAGGUGAAAUUCUUGGAUUUAUUGAAGACUAACUACUGCGAAAGCAUUUGCCAAGGAUGUUUUCAUUAAUCAAGAACGAAAGUUAGGGAAUCGAAGACGAUCAGAUACCGUCGUAGUCUUAACCAUAAACUAUGCCGACUAGGGAUCGGAUGAUGUUAAUUUUUUAAUGACUCAUUCGGCGCCUUACG
rnacentral:misc_RNA from 1 species